rnacentral:tRNA from 3 species
CGGAAGUAGCUCAGUUGAUAGAGCAUUAGCCUUCCAAGCUGAGGGUCGCGGGUUUGAAUCCCGUCUUCCG